rnacentral:rRNA from 1 species
UUGGAUAACUGUGGUAAUUCUAGAGCUAAUACAUGCACUUCGGCUCCGACCCUUUCCGAGGGGAAGAGCGCAUUUAUCAGCUUCGAAGCCAGCCGGGUCGCAAGGCCCGUCCACCUUUGGUGACUCUGGAUAACUGUUGCGGAUCGCAUGGCCCUGAGCCGGCGACGCGUCCAUCAAAUGUCUGCCCUAUCAGACUGUCGAUGGUAAGUGCUAUGCUUACCAUGGUGAUAACGGGUAACGGGGAAUCAGGGUUCGAUUCCGGAAUCGAACCCUGAU